AUAGAGCAACAAUCUCUAUGCAGUUUAGUUAAGGGCCCCGAUAAUCUUCUAGAGUCGCCAAACUUGGAAAGAUUAUCGGGGUUUUUGCUU
rnacentral:antisense_RNA from 1 species